CCUACGGGUGGCAGCAGUGGGGGAUAUUGCACAAUGGGGGAAACCCUGAUGCAGCGACGCCGCGUGGGCGAAGAAGUAUUUCGGUAUGUCAAGCCGUAUCAGCAGGAGAGAAGAAAUGACGGUACCUGAGUAAGAAGCACCGGCUAAAUACGUUCCAGCAGCCGCGGUAAUGCGUAUGGUUCAAGCGUUAUCCGGAUUUACUGGGUGUAAAGGAAGCGCAGGCGGCACGGGAAGCCUGAUGUGAAAGCACGCGGCUAAACCGCGGGACUGCAUUGGGUACUACCGGUCUGGAGUGCAGGUGAGGUAGGCGGAAUGUCUGGUGUAGCGGUGAAAUGCGUAGAUAUUA
rnacentral:rRNA from 1 species